UUUUAUCUUCCAUCUCUAUUUUGCCAAUUUGUUCAUACAACAUAGAAUAAUAUAUAUCUUUGUUUAAUCCAUGUCAAUAUAUAUAUUAUUUUUUAUAUUAUUUGAAUGUUUUAUUCAAAUAAUAUAAACACAUUUAAAAAAUAAAUUCAAGGUUUAAAGUAUAAAAUAAAAA
rnacentral:misc_RNA from 1 species